GAAAUGCGAUAAGUAGUGUGAAUUGCAGAAUUCAGUGAAUCAUCGAAUCUUUGAACGCACAUUGCGCCCUUUGGUAUUCCAAAGGGCAUGCCUGUUCGAGCGUCAUUUGUACCCUCAAGCUUUGCUUGGUGUUGGGCGUCUUGUCUCUAGCUUUGCUGGAGACUCGCCUUAAAGUAAUUGGCAGCCGGCCUACUGGUUUCGGAGCGCAGCACAAGUCGCACUCUCUAUCAGCAAAGGUCUGGCAUCCAUUAAGCCUUUUUUCAACUUUUGACCUCGGAUCAGGUAGGGAUACCCGCUGAACUUAAGC
rnacentral:misc_RNA from 1 species